AUUGAACGCUGGCGGCAGGCUUAACACAUGCAAGUCGAGCGGAGAGAGGUAGCUUGCUACUGAUCUUAGCGGCGGACGGGUGAGUAAUGCUUAGGAAUCUGCCUAUUAGUGGGGGACAACAUUUCGAAAGGAAAGCUAAUACCGCAUACGUCCUACGGGAGAAAGCAGGGGAUCUUCGGACCUUGCGCUAAUAGAUGAGCCUAAGUCGGAUUAGCUAGUUGGUGGGGUAAAGGCCUACCAAGGCGACGAUCUGUAGCGGGUCUGAGAGGAUGAUCCGCCACACUGGGACGGAGACACGGCCCAAACUCCUACGGGAGGCAGCAGUGGGGAAUAGUGGACAAUGGGCGCAAGCCUGAUCCAGCCAUGCCGCGUGUGUGAAGAAGGCCUUAUGGUGGUAAAGCACUUUAAGCGAGGAGGAGGCUACUUUAGUUAAUACCUAGAGAUAGUGGACGUUACUCGCAGAAUAAGCACCGGCUAACUCUGUGCCAGCCGCCGCCGUAACAC
rnacentral:rRNA from 1 species